AACUGUACCCAAGGAGGGAGAAGGAGCCUCUACUCACUCAGGCAUAGAAAGUGAGGUCAUGAUUAAGUUCAAUGAAUAAGCACAGCACAGAAAAUCCAGAUGUCUGUCAGCCAUGGGAUGACAUCUUCUAUCCACGAGCUACAGAAACUGAGAGAAGAGUGUUUGCAAGUCCCUCUGGUUGCAGAAGCAAGGUUCAUUGAUGGAGAAAGGGAUCUGAAGAUGGUAAAUUGACAGUUGAAGAAGAUAUAACUUCUUAUAUCUUCCACAAAGAGAAAAACCCUCAUAUGAGGAAACACCUGGGCUUGGAGUUCUGGCUCAGAAUUUAAAAUUUUCAAUCUAGUGUUAUAGACAUAUAGAAUAUUAGAGCUGAAAGGGCCAUCAGAUAUCACCAUUGCCCAACCUCCUGAUUUUACACAUGAGGAAAUCAACAUGCACUUACUUCUGGGGAGGAGAUAAAGAAGGGAAGAGAGCUCCUGCGUUUACCCCUAAGGUCAACUACUUCUCUCUGCCUUACAUGAGUGACAAAGAGCCUAUUAACAUGAAGAUAAUGAGGAUGAAGACCUUUAUAAUGUUGCACUUACACUUGAUGAGU
rnacentral:lncRNA from 1 species